rnacentral:rRNA from 1 species
UACGUAGGUCCCGAGCGUUGUCCGGAUUUAUUGGGCGUAAAGCGAGCGCAGGCGGUUUGAUAAGUCUGAAGUUAAAGGCUGUGGCUCAACCAUAGUUUGCUUUGGAAACUGUCAAACUUGAGUGCAGAAGGGGAGAGUGGAAUUCCAUGUGUAGCGGUGAAAUGCGUAGAUAUAUGGAGGAACACCGGUGGCGAAAGCGGCUCUCUGGUCUGUAACUGACGCUGAGGCUCGAAAGCGUGGGGAGCGAACAGG